GCGUGAGUGAUGAAGGCCUUAGGGUUGUAAAGCUCUUUUACUAGGGAAGAUAAUGACGGUACCUAGAGAAUAAGCCCCGGCUAACUUCGUGCCAGCAGCCGCGGUAAUACGAAGGGGGCUAGCGUUGUUCGGAAUUACUGGGCGUAAAGCGCGCGCAGGCGGUGAUGUAAGUCAGAGGUGAAAUCCCAGGGCUCAACCCUGGAAUCGCCUUUGAAACUGCAUCGCUAGAAUAUGAGAGAGGGUAGUGGAAUUCCGAAUGUAGCGGUGAAAUGCGU
rnacentral:rRNA from 1 species